GUGUAGCGCAGGGGUAGCGCGCGUCGUUCGAGACGACGAGGCCGGAGGUUCAAAUCCUCUGCAGCACA
rnacentral:tRNA from 1 species